UAUAACUCAGUGUGCAAAAGUUGAGCACAUAAUGCUAACGCAGGUUUGAUUUUUGUGAAUAUACAGUACAGGCACUGGGGACAUGGCAGCGUGAAAGUAUGGCGGAUGCUGAAGAGCGGAGAAGAAAAGAAGGAAAAUAGAGGAGCUGACUGAGAAGUUAGUGACGACCUGCUUGAAACUGUCAGCAAAUGGCUGUAGAUGGAGACCGUAGAGACUGGGAUGGCCGAUGGAACCAUGUGAAGAAGUUCCUUGAGAGACCCGGCCCAUUCACUCAUCCUGACUUUGAGCCAAGCAUUGAGUCCCUUGGGUUCUUAUUGGAGACAUGCAAGAUCCUGGUCAUUGGAGCUGGAGCUGGAGGGCUUGGGUGUGAGCUGCUCAAAAAUCUGGACCAAAGAUGUUGGACAGCCAAAAGCAGAUGUGGCUGCUGACUUUGUCAAUGGUCGCGUCCCUGGAUGUCAAGUUGUCCCACAUUUCAAGAAAAUUCAAGACUUUGAUGAAUCUUUCUACAGACAAUUCCAUAUUAUUGUUUGUGGAUUUAGAUUCCAUCAUCGCCAGGCAUUGGAUGAAUGGCAUGCUGAUUAAUUUCCCCAUGUGCACCAUUGCGUCUAUGCCACGGUUGCCAGAGCACUGCGUUGAAUAUGUCAGAAUGCUACAGUGGCCCAAAGACAAGCCUUUUGGAGAUGGUGUUGGUUUGGAUGGGGAUAACCCUGAGCACAUCCAUUGGGUGUUCCAGAGGGCCCAGGAGAGAGCUGUUGACUACAGCAUCACAGGAGUCACAUACAGACUCACACAAGGUGUCGUGAAAAGGAUCAUCCCUGCUGUGGCGUCAACUAAUGCUGUAAUAGCUGCUGCCUGCUCCACUGAAGUUUUUAAAAUAGCUUCAAGGUUAGUACUAUGACUCAUCCCUUUUUCACAUGAUGGACUCACUGGAGAGUAGGUCAAUUCCAUACUAGGUAUCAUUCAUAUUACCUUUCUCUGACUUUGUAGCACUUAUAUUCCACUGAAUAAUUAUCUGGUAUUUAAUAUUGUGGACGGACUGUACACCUACACCUUUGAGGCAGAGCGAAAGGUUAGUCAUGUAUUUGAUGUAACUAGAUGAGAGUCCUUAAUGGAUAUAUAUUUGCCCAUUUUAUUUAGGAGAACUGUAUUAAUGUAACUGACGGUGCUAUUGACACACAAGGCUAUAAGGGUAUGGCGUGGUUUCAGGCUACUUGUGCCUUCAUGCUCUUGUUUGGUCUGACAGGAGAAUUGCUCAGCUUGUAGCCAGGUGCCCCAGGAUCUACAGUUCCCACCCUCUGCCAAGCUACAGGAGGUCCUGGAGUACUUGACAGAGAACGCCCCCCUACAAAUGAAAUCCCCAGCCAUCACAGAAACCCUGGAUGGGAAAAAUAAGACACUGUAUUUACAGACUAUAGCUUCAAUUGAAGAAUGAACUAGACCAAACCUUUGCAAAACCUUGAAAGAACUGGGAUUGUCCGAUGGACAGGAACUAGCAGUGGCGGAUGUCACCACACCUCAGACUGUCCUCUUCUGGCGACAUUACCGGGCGGUGUUAAUAGACCAAUAACAGAGAGUUCCAAACUUCUGCCAAUAACAGCUAGUUUUCAGGUUACAUAUCCCUCCCAUUAAACUUCUCCAAUUAGGUGCCACUCCGAGACAGUCCUAACGAAAUUAUUGCUUGAGAAAUAGCUUUUUGCCAAGAAGCUAUUUUUGUUUCUUUUUUACCAUUGUUUUCAAUAAAAAUCACAGUAAGGUACUUAAUUGUUACCCAGAAAUAAUUUGAUAUUGAGAUUUUAAAAAACGACUGCAUUGGACCUUUUUCUAAAUGCAGAAUCUGUCGACAUUUGACAACCUCUGGGGAGAAAGUAGCAAGGGAUACAGCGUGGCAUGGUUUUAAUAUAUUUUAGUCUGAUAAUGUAUAUAAGAUCAUUUUCUCUGUCGUAUUGGCCCAUUGUGAGAGGUAGCUGAUGGCCAUCAACCUUCUAUAUCACUAUAUGUGAAAUCAGUCUGUGAAAAUGUUUCUUAAUGUUUUACUCCUAAAUGUUUGCUCCAAACGUCUGUCUUCUUUCCCUCACUCAAAAGAGCAGUAGUUUAUAUAGGGUACCAGUCAAAAGUUUGGACACACCUACUCAUUCCAGGGUUUUUGUUUAUUUUUUAAAUAUUUUUGUUCUACAUUGUAGAAUAACAGUGAAGACAU